rnacentral:rRNA from 2 species
CACGCCGUAAACGAUGGAUACUAGCUGUUCGGAGCAAUCUGAGUGGCUAAGCGAAAGUGAUAAGUAUCCCACCUGGGGAGUACGUUCGCAAGAAUGAAACUCAAAGGAAUUGACGGGGGCCCGCACAAGCGGUGGAGCAUGUGGUUUAAUUCGAUGAUACGCGAGGAACCUUACCAAGGCUUAAAUGUAGAUUGACCGGUUUGGAAACAGACUUUUCGCAAGACAAUUUACAAGGUGC